rnacentral:rRNA from 1 species
GAAGUUAACCAGACCCAGGCCUGGGACGUAUUUUGAUGAGAGACCACCUGGGAAUCACAGAAGCUAUCUACA